CUAAAUAUUUUUUCGUUGCACCAUUACACUUAGUUGAUGUGUAACUCUACGUUUAAACUAAAUAUUUACGGACGCGUCUGGUCAGGAGUAACGGUUGGAAUAAAAUAGCAGACUGAGUGAACUGCAUCAAUAUGCUCUUCUUUUACCUGACAACCUCCAAUCCUUUAGGCAUAUAUGAUGCUGCUGACAUUCACACUCACGUACAUAUUAAGAGAGAGAACAAUAUGUGAAUAUGUGAAGCCCGUCUUCAACACCCCAUCUACAGCGCGCCUCUGUGCACUUCGGUCCGUGUUUGCGCAUGUCAGAUGAAAUAAUAAAUAAAUGGCAUUUCUUAUGUUUUUUUUUUCUUUCAGUAUUUAUUGAUCCUUAUUUAUUUCAAUUACAGUUUCUGAAUGUUAUUUACAUAUAAAAAUAGCUUACGUAUAGACUAAUGUUAUUAAUGUAUGGUUUUUAAUGGAAACUUGUUUUUACCGUUAGUAUAGGUGAAGCAAAAGAAGUUAGAAUGAAGGAUAAAUUAAAAUUAAUAACAUUUAAACAAGUUCUGCUCGUGUAUUUGAAGGUUUCUAUUGGAUGAUUUAGGGUAAACGUCAUUUUAUGCGACUACGCAUUACUUUACGGAGAGCUUACGAACUACUAGCUACGUCCUGCUUAACGUACAACUGGUGCAACCGAACUUAUUAUUGAGUACAUUACAUGGCAUUUGGAUUUCAACGGCCACAUAUAAUGUCCUGUAUUGGCUUAUAUGAAUGUGAUAUAUCAACAAAUGCAGCUGACAAAUGGCGUAUGACUGGGACCGAGCUGCAGUCAAUAUUUACGCCUAUUUAAGCAGACAGAGAUUUCUCUGAGUUUCUGGCCUGUGGAGCAUCUUACAGUAGUGUCUCUAUGGACCGUCUGUAUUAAAGCCAGCUGAGGCUCUGCGAGCUCCGUUUGCCCUCUGUUUCCUUCCCUAACUAUCAUUCCACACCUUGCACGGACCGGAAACCUUCUAUGCCGGUAGGGUGGGCUGCACUUGACGCAUAUGUCAAAAUGAGUGGGUCAUGACCCCGUGGCAGGCAGCAUUUCCUGUUGCUGUAAAAGAGGCCUAGCGGGAGCAGUAGAGAUCAGAGUGGGCCCAGCAGCACAUCCGGAACUGGAUGGGCUGCAGCCGUCCAAACCAAUACAUCAGCCCAACAGUAGCGAAUGUGGGUGGAAAAAUGAGAACAGGAAGUUUUUCUGCCACAAUGAAAUACAGAGUGCGCCAUAUUCAAGUAUGACUAAAUUUAUAUAGAGUGCACAAUUCAGACAUACGGGACAUCAUUCAAUAAAAGAUCACAUUUAAAAAAUGUUACUAUUUUACACUGACUGAAAAGACAUUCUUAUUUCAGUCAAUGAAAAUAACAUUUUAGUU